rnacentral:rRNA from 1 species
UGCGUAGGCGGCUUUAUAAGUCAGAGGUGAAAGCCCACAGCUCAACUGUGGAACUGCCUUUGAUACUGUGGAGCUUGAAUUAGGUUGAGGUUAGCGGAAUGUGGCAUGUAGCGGUGAAAUGCAUAGAUAUGCCAUAGAACACAAAUUGCGAAGGCAGCUAACUAGGCCUUGAUUGACGCUGAGGCACGAAAGCGUGGGGAGCGAACAGGAUUAGAUACCCUGGUAGUCC